rnacentral:rRNA from 1 species
UACGUAGGCAGCGAGCGUUGUUCGGAGUUACUGGGCGUAAAGCGUGCGCAGGCGGUUAUGCAAGACAGAUGUGAAAUCCCCGGGCUCAACCUGGGAACUGCAUUUGUGACUGCAUAGCUAGAGUACGGUAGAGGGGAUGGAAUUCCGCGUGUAGCAGUGAAAUGCGUAGAUAUGCGGAGGAACACCGAUGGCGAAGGCAAUCCCCUGGACCUGUACUGACGCUCAUGCACGAAAGCGUGGGGAGCAAACAGG